GACGAACGCUGGCGGCGUGCUUAACACAUGCAAGUCGAACGGAAAGGCCCUGCUUUUGUGGGGUGCUCGAGUGGCGAACGGGUGAGUAACACGUGAGUAACCUGCCCUUGACUUUGGGAUAACUUCAGGAAACUGGGGCUAAUACCGGAUAGGAGCUCCUGCUGCAUGGUGGGGGUUGGAAAGUUUCGGCGGUUGGGGAUGGACUCGCGGCUUAUCAGCUUGUUGGUGGGGUAGUGGCUUACCAAGGCUUUGACGGGUAGCCGGCCUGAGAGGGUGACCGGGCAAAAUGGGACUGAGAAAAGGGCCAGACUCCUAAGGGAGGCAGCAGUGGGGAAUAUUGCACAAUGGGCGGAAGCCUGAUGCAGCAACGCCGCGUGCGGGAUGACGGCCUUCGGGUUGUAAACCGCUUUCGCCUGUGACGAAGCGUGAGUGACGGUAAUGGGUAAAGAAGCACCGGCUAACUACGUG
rnacentral:rRNA from 1 species